ensembl:lncRNA
UACAUACAUACAUACACACACACAUACAUACAUACAUACAUACAUACACAUACACACACACACACACACACAUACAUACAUACAUACAUACAUACAUACAUACACACACAUACAUACACACACACACACAUACAUGAUUUAACUUAUAAUUCACUGUAUCACAAUUCCAGUGGGUCAGAAGUUUUAAAUACACUAAGUUGACUGUGCCUUUAAACAGCUUCGACAAUUCCAGAAUAUUAUGUCAUGGCUUUAGAAGCUUCUGAUUGUCUAUUUGACAUCAUUUGAGUCAAUUGGUGUACCUGUGGAUGUAUUUCAAGGCCUACCUUCAAACUCAGUGCCUCUUUAAUUGACAUCAUGGGAAAAUCAAUAGAAAUCAGCCAAAACUGGCCAAUCAGCCAAAACGCCUCUUCACUGUUGAUGUUGAGACUGCUGUUUUGUGGGUAAUAUUUAAUGAAGCUGCCAGUUGAGGACUUGUGAGGCAUCUCUUUCUCAAACUAGAAACUCCAAUGUACUUGUCCUCUUGCUUAGUUGUGCACUGGGGCCUCCCACUCCUCUUUCUAUUCUGGUUAGAGCCAGUUUGCGCUUUUCUGUGAAGGGAGUAGUAUACAGCGUUGUACAAGAUCUUCAGUUUCUUGGCAAUUUCUCGCAUGGAAUAGCCUUCAUUUCUCAGAACAAGAAUAGACUGACAAGCUUCAGAAUAAAGUUAUUUGUUUCUGGCCAUUUUGAGCCUCUAAAGGAACCAACAAAUGCUGAUGCUCCAGAUACUCAACCAGUCUAAAGGCUUAAUUGCUUCUUUAAUCAGGACAACAGUUUUCAGCUGUGCUAACAUAACUGCAAAAGUGUUUUCUAAUGAUCAAUUAUCCUUUUUAAAAUGAUAAACUUGGAUUAGCUAACACAACGUGCCAUAGGAACACAGGAGUGAUGGUUGCUGAUAAUGGGCCUCUAUACGUCUAUGUAGAUAUUCCAUUAAAAAAUCUGUCGUUUCCAGCUACAAUAGUCAUUUACAACAUUAACAAUGUCUACACUGUAUUUCUGAUCAAUUUGAUGUUAUUUUAAUGGACAAAAAAUUUGCUUUUCUUUCAAAAACAAGGACAUUUCUAAGUGACCCCAAACUUUUGAAUGGUAGUGUAUAUUAUAUCUGAAGGGUUUGUCUCAAUACAAACACAGACUACGUUAUCUAUCCAGUUUCACAUGUGCUUUCCCCAAACAAGAGUGGUGAAAAUGACUAUUUUGUUAGAAUGCACUGUGAGUUCAGAGUUCUGAUCAUGCCAUGUGUGUGUGUGUGUGUUUACAUGCUAUGAUGUCUGUGUGUGUGUGUGUGUGUGUGUGUGUGUGUGUGUGUGUGUGUGUGUGUGUGUGUGUGUGUGUGUGUGUGUGUGUGUGUGUGUGCGUGUGUGUGUCUAUUUGUGUGUGUGUGUGUUUACAUGCUAUGUCUCUGUGUGUGUGUGUGUGUGUGUGUGUGUGUUUACAUGCUAUGUCUCUGUGUGUGUGUGUGUUUGUGUGUGUGUGUGUGUGUUUGUGUGUGUGUGUGUGUUUACAUGCUAUGUCUCUGUGUGUGUGUGUGUGUGUGUGUGUGUGUUUGUUUGUUUGUGUGUGUGUGUGUUUACAUGCAGUGUGUGUGUGUGUGUCUAUGUGUGUGUUUUUGUUUACAUGCUGUGUGUGUGUGUGUGUGUGUGUGUGUGUGUGUGUGUGUGUGUGUGUGUGUGUGUGUGUGUGGGUGUGGGUGUGGGUGGGUGUGUUUGUUUACAUGCUGUGUGUGUGUGUGUGUGUGUGUGUGUGUGUGUGGGUGUGUGUGUUUACAUCCUGUGUGUGUGUGUGUGUGUGUGUAUACAUGCUUUUCGUGCGUGUGUGUUAGUGUGUCUAUGUGUGUGUGUUUGUUUACAUGCCAUGUGUGUAUACCCAACCAGUCAUGCAUUGUAUGUGAUCAUCAGUGUCAUUCUGAGAGGUUUGGACUGAUGAUGUGUUUUCCUACAGGUGCUGAUUGCUGAUGCCACUGAUCUAUCAGUCCGCAUGGACCAGGGCUUCACGCUCACAUGGAAAACAAACACCUAAUCCCAUUCACAUAAACAUGCACUGCCAUACAACGUGUUAUUUAAACAGUGGUGGAAAAAGUACCCAAUUGUCACACUUGAGUAAAACUAUAGAUACCUUAAUAAAAAAAAGUUAAAGUGAAAGUCACUCAGGAAAAUACUAUAUGAAUAAAGGUUGAAAAUUAUUUUGUUUCAUGUAUACUUAAGUUUGAACAGUACAUGUAAUUGCUAUACUUAAAUAUACUUAAGUAUCAAAAGUAAAAGUAUAAAUUAUUUUAAAUUCCUUAACGCAAACCAACCGACACCAUUUGUUUUUAUCUGAAUGUAUUUUUACGGGGGGGGCACAUUCCAACACUCCAACAUAAUUUACAAAUGAAACGUGUGUUAAGUGUCCUGCUUGAAUUUCAAAAUGUAACGAGUACUUUUGGGUGUCAGGGAAAAUGUUUGGAGUAAAAAGUACAUUAAAAGUGCAGUGAAAAUAAAAGUUGUCAGAAAUAGAAAUAGUAAAGUAUAGAUACCCCCCCUACCCCCCAAAAACAAAUAAAACAAGUUAAGCAGCACUUUAAAGUAUUUCUAAUUAAGUACUUGACACCACUGUAUUUACAUUUUCACAAUCUGCAAUUGUCUGUUUGAAUGUCUCAUGACUCAGUAAGUCAUGUGUAACAUAAAUAAACUGACCUGAAAUAGACAAACGUUGUUUUUUUUAUCAACUUAAUUUGUCUGUUGAUUUUACGAUUGAAAAGGAGGGUAGUUGAGGGUAAGAAGGAACACUAUUGAGAGCCAGCCCAUGUUUAAUUUGUC